AUGUACCGUGCGCUCACGCUUUCAAAGGUCCCAGUGGAUAAUAACAAGAAAAUAUGGAGAUCGAAGAUUCCACUGAAAGUUAAGAUCUUCAUGUGGUACCUUCGAAAGGGAGUGGUGCUAACCAAAGAUAACCUCGCUUGUCGCAACUGGCAUGGAAGCAAGAAGUGUGGCUUUUGUACUCAUGACGAGACAAUCAGACACCUCUUUUUCCAGUGCAAGUUUGCACGUUCUACAUGGUCAAUCAUCCAAAUAGCGUCUAAUCUUUGUCCGCCCAUAGGUGUUGCCAAUAUUUCUGGUCACUUGCUGGAUGGUAUUCCUUAUAUAUUCAAAACGCUAAUAAGGGUGGAAGCGUAUGCCUUAUUAUGGUCGCUUUGGCUAUGUAGAAAUGAUCUGAUUUUUAAUGACAAACACUCUUCUCCUUUGCAGGUUAUUUUCCGUUGUACGCAAUCUCUUCGUACGUGGUCUAUGCUUCACCGUAUGGAGUUCCAACCACUGUUCAAGGCGGUGUGUAUGCAAUUGGAGCGAGUGGUCACAUCCUUCAACAUAGGCAUAGUGAUGGUCUUAUUUGACUCUACUAGUGCCGAUAUGUCAUCUUUUUAUUUUCUUUCAGACUAUUUGUGUUUGGUCGUGUGCAUCCGAGCUAUGCAGAGGCCGGAUGUUACUCAUCUGACUUGUAUAUGCUACGUUUUGAGUUAA
rnacentral:rRNA from 1 species